rnacentral:rRNA from 1 species
UUGAAAGGGAAACGAUUGAAGUCAGUCAUGCCGACGGGAAUCAACUUAGAGGAAACUCUGAGUGCACUUCUCCGUUUGGCAGGUUAGUGUCGAUUUUGGAUAUCAUAAAAUAAUUGGGAGAAGGGAGGUAUUUCCCCUUUGGGGGAUUUUAUAGCCUUGAUAGAUGUGAUGUCUGGGAUCGAGGAUUGCAACGGAUACCUUUGGGGCUAACCGCCUGAUCUCUAAUUGGUGUUGGGUUACGGACAGCAUGCUGACCGUGAUCUAAUUACUGGUUAAAAGGUUAGAGUGUGCAUAAAUCGUUAAGGAUGUUGACGUA